UGACGUCGAAUGUACGACGUAAUCCUCGUUUAUUCCACGUAGGACAAAAUCGUCGUAAAGAACUCGUUAGCUUAUGUGGAAAUAACGACGAAAGUAAAAAAAAAUAAAGAAAGCGAAACCCGUUAAUUCCACGUAGGACGGAAUCGUCGUAAACACCUCGAAAGGUAAAUUGACGUAAAUACCACGUAAAGUAAAUGACGAAGGAGGC
rnacentral:lncRNA from 1 species